rnacentral:piRNA from 1 species
UAUCAUGGUGAUUCUCAGGCUUCUGUCCCUG